rnacentral:tRNA from 1 species
GGCCGUGUGGCGAAAUGGCAUCGCGUCUGACUACGAAUCAGGAGAUUGUAGGUUCGAUACCUACCUCGGUCA